UGCCUCAGUAACGGCGAGUGAAGCGGCAACAGCUCAAAUUUGAAAUCUGGCCGUUCGGCGGUCCGAGUUGUAAUUUGUAGAGGAUGCUUCGGGUGCGGCGCCGGUCUAAGUUCCUUGGAACAGGACGUCAGAGAGGGUGAGAAUCCCGUAUGUGACCGGUGACCCAGCCCGUGUGAAGCUCCUUCGACGAGUCGAGUUGUUUGGGAAUGCAGCUCUAAAUGGGUGGUAAAUUUCAUCUAAAGCUAAAUACCGGCCAGAGACCGAUAGCGCACAAGUAGAGUGAUCGAAAGAUGAAAAGCACUUUGGAAAGAGAGUUAAAAAGUACGUGAAAUUGUUGAAAGGGAAGCGCUUGUGACCAGACUUGCUCGCGGGCGAUCAGCCGUCCUUCUGGGCGGUGCACUCGCCCGUGAUCAGGCCAGCAUCGGUUCGGGCGGCCGGAUAACGGCCCCGGGAAUGUGGCUCCCCUCGGGGAGUGUUAUAGCCCGGGGCGCAAUGCGGCCCGCCGGGACCGAGGACCGCGCUUCGGCUAGGAUGCUGGCGUAAUGGUCGUAAGCGACCCGUCUUGAAACACGGACCAAGGAGUCUAACAUCUGUGCGAGUGUUUGGGUGUCAAACCCAUGCGCGGAAUGAAAGUGAACGGAGGUGGGAACCCUUCAGGGUGCACCAUCGACCGAUCCUGAUGUCUUCGGAUGGAUUUGAGUAAGAGCAUAGCUGUUGGGACCCGAAAGAUGGUGAACUAUGCCUGAAUAGGGUGAAGGCCAGAGGAAACUCUGGUGGAGGCUCGCA
rnacentral:rRNA from 1 species